rnacentral:misc_RNA from 1 species
UUUCCGUAGGUGAACCUGCGGAAGGAUCAUUAAAAAAUGUGGUACCAAUUAUUGGUACUAAUUAAUCAUCCUACCCUUUGUGAAUUUGUUUGUAUGAAUUUUUUUAAAUGGGUCUUUCCCUAAGUUGGAUUGUUAGUAAAAUACAAAAAGACUUAGGGGAAUGACUUUUUAAAAGACUUUUUUUAAUUAAAACUUUUUGUAUUCAUCUGUCUAAAAUUUAUUUUUAUAAUAUAAAAACAACUUUUGACAAUGGAUCUCUUGGUUCUCGCAACGAUGAAGAACGCAGCAAAAUGCGAUAAGUAGUGUGAAUUGCAGAAUACGUGAAUCAUCGAAUCUUCGAACGCAUAUUGCACUUUUUUAGUUUACUAAAAAAGUAUGUCUGUUUGAGUAUCAGUAAAAUAUUCUCACAAACAUAUAUUGUUUGUGGUUAUGAGUGUUUUACAACGAUAAACAAGUUGUUUCACUUUAAAUUCUUUUGUAAGUUUUUACCAAUUCAUAAAUUAAAAUUGGAUAAAAUUUUCCUUUAACGAGGAAUAACCUAAACAAUUUUAAAUUUUUGGAUUAGUAAAUCCAUCAAGGAAUCUAUUACAUAAAUAACUUGAUCUCAAAUCAGAUAAGAGUACCCGCUGAACUUAAGCAUAUCAAUAAGCGGAGGAAAAGAAACUAACAAGGAUUCCCUUAGUAACGGCGAGUGAAGCGGGAAGAGCUCAAAUUUGAAAUCUUCAAGGUUUGACCUUGACGAAUUGUAGUUUAUAGAAGUGUUUUCUGUUGGAGUUUUGGUAAAAGUUCUUUGGAAUAGGACAUCAUAGAGGGUGAGAAUCCCGUAUUUGACCAUGACUUUCCAGCUGUGUGAUACACUUUCAAAGAGUCGGAUUGUUUGGGAAUGCAGUCCAAAAUGGGUGGUAAUUUCAUCUAAAGCUAAAUAUUGGCGAGAGACCGAUAGCGAACAAGUACCGUGAGGGAAAGAUGAAAAGAACUUUGAAAAGAGAGUUAAACAGUACGUGAAAUUGUCAAAAGGGAAGCGUUUGACACCAGUGUUGUUUUCUCGAAAAUCAAUUAAUGAGUUCUUGUUUUUAAGUUAUUGUGACUUUAUCAGCGCAUUUCUUAUUUUACUUGACUCAUUGAAUGCACUUUUCGUUUAACAAGUCAACAUCAAUUUCUUUGGUGGUAAAAAGUUUAAAGGAAGGUGGCUUGGACUUCGGUUCAAGUGUUUAUAGCCUUUUUUCUAUGCCAUCGGAGAGAUUGAGGUCUGCAGCGUAGAUCCUUCGGGUUAGAUACCUUUGUGCUAAGUUAUAGUUUUUUAUAGACAACUUGUUGACUAUAAUUAACCCUGUAAUUUACUCGCUUAGGCUAUUUUACCUACGCUUAGGAUGUUG